rnacentral:rRNA from 1 species
GAUGAACGCUGGCGGCGUGCCUAAUACAUGCAAGUCGAGCGAACAGACGAGGAGCUUGCUCCUCUGACGUUAGCGGCGGACGGGUGAGUAACACGUGGAUAACCUACCUAUAAGACUGGGAUAACUUCGGGAAACCGGAGCUAAUACCGGAUAAUAUAUUGAACCGCAUGGUUCAAUAGUGAAAGACGGUUUUGCUGUCACUUAUAGAUGGAUCCGCGCCGCAUUAGCUAGUUGGUAAGGUAACGGCUUACCAAGGCAACGAUGCGUAGCCGACCUGAGAGGGUGGUCGGCCACACUGGAACUGAGACACGGUCCAGACUCCUACGGGAGGCAGCAGUAGGGAAUCGUCCGCAAUGGGCGAAAGCCUGACGGAGCAACGCCGCGUGAGUGAUGAAGGUCUUCGGAUCGUAAAACUCUGUUAUGAGGGAAGAACAAAUGUGUAAGUAACUAUGCACGUCUUGACGGUACCUAAUCAGAAAGCCACGGCUAACUACGUG